AUUGAACGCUGGCGGCAGGCUUAACACAUGCAAGUCGAACGAGUGGCGGAAGGGUGAGUAAUGCUUGGGAAUCUAGCUUAUGGUGGGGGAUAACUACGGGAAACUGUAGCUAAUACGGCGUACCAUAGGAGGAGGCCAAGUGGGAUUAGGUAGUUGGUGAGGUAAAGGCGCACCAAGCCGACGAUCUCUAGCUGGUCUGAGAGGAUGACCAGCCACACUGCGACUUAGACACGGCCCAGACUCCUACGUGAGGCAGCAGUGGGGAAGAUUGCGCAAUGGGGGCAACCUGACGCAGCCAUGCCGCGUGACUGAAGAAGGCUUUCGGGUUUUAAGGUUCUUUCGUUAGCGCGGCGUUAACUACAGAAGAAGCACCGGCUAACUCCGUGCCAGCCGCCGCGGUAAUUC
rnacentral:rRNA from 1 species